UACGGGGGGAGCAAGCGUUGUUCGGAAUCACUGGGCGUAAAGGGAGUCUAGGCGGUUUGGUAAGUGGGAUGUGAAAUGCCCGGGCUCACCCCGGGACCUGCAUCCCAAACUGCUGAGCUUGAGUACAGGAGAGGGUGGGGGAAUUCCUGGUGUAGCGGUGAAAUGCGCAGAUAUCAGGAGGAACACCGGUGGCGAAGGCGGGACUCUGGGCCGAUACUGACGCUGAGGAGCGAAAGCGUGGGGAGCGAACAGG
rnacentral:rRNA from 1 species